rnacentral:rRNA from 1 species
CUGUGAGCUCGAUGAGUAGGGCGGGACACGUGGUAUCCUGUCUGAAUAUGGGGGGACCAUCCUCCAAGGCUAAAUACUCCUGACUGACCGAUAGUGAACCAGUACCGUGAGGGAAAGGCGAAAAGAACCCCGGCGAGGGGAGUGAAAAAGAACCUGAAACCGUGUACGUACAAGCAGUGGGAGCCUCUUAAUGGGGUGACUGCGUACCUUUUGUAUAAUGGGUCAGCGACUUAUAUUCUGUAGCAAGGUUAACCGAAUAGGGGAGCCGAAGGGAAACCGAGUCUUAACUGGGCGUUAAGUUGCAGGGUAUAGACCCGAAACCCGGUGAUCUAGCCAUGGGCAGGUUGAAGGUUGGGUAACACUAACUGGAGGACCGAACCGACUAAUGUUGAAAAAUUAGCGGAUGACUUGUGGCUGGGGGUGAAAGGCCAAUCAAACCGGGAGAUAGCUGGUUCUCCCCGAAAGCUAUUUAGGUAGCGCCUCGUGAAUUCAUCUCCGGGGGUAGAGCACUGUUUCGGCAAGGGGGUCAUCCCGACUUACCAACCCGAUGCAAACUGCGAAUACCGGAGAAUGUUAUCACGGGAGACACACGGCGGGUGCUAACGUCCGUCGUGAAGAGGGAAACAACCCAGACCGCCAGCUAAGGUCCCAAAGUCAUGGUUAAGUGGGAAACGAUGUGGGAAGGCCCAGACAGCCAGGAUGUUGGCUUAGAAGCAGCCAUCAUUUAAAGAAAGCGUAAUAGCUCACUGGUCGAGUCGGCCUGCGCGGAAGAUGUAACGGGGCUAAACCAUGCACCGAAGCUGCGGCAGCGACACUAUGUGUUGUUGGGUAGGGGAGCGUUCUGUAAGCCUGUGAAGGUGUGCUGUGAGGCAUGCUGGAGGUAUCAGAAGUGCGAAUGCUGACAUAAGUAACGAUAAAGCGGGUGAAAAGCCCGCUCGCCGGAAGACCAAGGGUUCCUGUCCAACGUUAAUCGGGGCAGGGUGAGUCGACCCCUAAGGCGAGGCCGAAAGGCGUAGUCGAUGGGAAACAGGUUAAUAUUCCUGUACUUGGUGUUACUGCGAAGGGGGGACGGAGAAGGCUAUGUUGGCCGGGCGACGGUUGUCCCGGUUUAAGCGUGUAGGCUGGUUUUCCAGGCAAAUCCGGAAAACCAAGGCUGAGGCGUGAUGACGAGGCACUACGGUGCUGAAGCGACAAAUGCCCUGCUUCCAGGAAAAGCCUCUAAGCAUCAGGUAACAUCAAAUCGUACCCCAAACCGACACAGGUGGUCAGGUAGAGAAUACCAAGGCGCUUGAGAGAACUCGGGUGAAGGAACUAGGCAAAAUGGUGCCGUAACUUCGGGAGAAGGCACGCUGAUAUGUAGGUGAAGCGACUUGCUCGUGGAGCUGAAAUCAGUCGAAGAUACCAGCUGGCUGCAACUGUUUAUUAAAAACACAGCACUGUGCAAACACGAAAGUGGACGUAUACGGUGUGACGCCUGCCCGGUGCCGGAAGGUUAAUUGAUGGGGUUAGCGGUAACGCGAAGCUCUUGAUCGAAGCCCCGGUAAACGGCGGCCGUAACUAUAACGGUCCUAAGGUAGCGAAAUUCCUUGUCGGGUAAGUUCCGACCUGCACGAAUGGCGUAAUGAUGGCCAGGCUGUCUCCACCCGAGACUCAGUGAAAUUGAACUCGCUGUGAAGAUGCAGUGUACCCGCGGCAAGACGGAAAGACCCCGUGAACCUUUACUAUAGCUUGACACUGAACAUUGAGCCUUGAUGUGUAGGAUAGGUGGGAGGCUUUGAAGUGUGGACGCCAGUCUGCAUGGAGCCGACCUUGAAAUACCACCCUUUAAUGUUUGAUGUUCUAACGUUGGCCCGUAAUCCGGGUUGCGGACAGUGUCUGGUGGGUAGUUUGACUGGGGCGGUCUCCUCCUAAAGAGUAACGGAGGAGCACGAAGGUUGGCUAAUCCUGGUCGGACAUCAGGAGGUUAGUGCAAUGGCAUAAGCCAGCUUGACUGCGAGCGUGACGGCGCGAGCAGGUGCGAAAGCAGGUCAUAGUGAUCCGGUGGUUCUGAAUGGAAGGGCCAUCGCUCAACGGAUAAAAGGUACUCCGGGGAUAACAGGCUGAUACCGCCCAAGAGUUCAUAUCGACGGCGGUGUUUGGCACCUCGAUGUCGGCUCAUCACAUCCUGGGGCUGAAGUAGGUCCCAAGGGUAUGGCUGUUCGCCAUUUAAAGUGGUACGCGAGCUGGGUUUAGAACGUCGUGAGACAGUUCGGUCCCUAUCUGCCGUGGGCGCUGGAGAACUGAGGGGGGCUGCUCCUAGUACGAGAGGACCGGAGUGGACGCAUCACUGGUGUUCGGGUUGUCAUGCCAAUGGCACUGCCCGGUAGCUAAAUGCGGAAGAGAUAAGUGCUGAAAGCAUCUAAGCACGAAACUUGCCCCGAGAUGAGUUCUCCCUGAGACUUAGAGUCUCCUGAAGGAACGUUGAAGACGACGACGUUGAUAGGCCGGGUGUGUAAGCGCAGCGAUGCGUUGAGCUAACCGGUACUAAUGAACCGUGAGGCUUAACCUU